GAUGAACGCUGGCGGCGUGCCUAAUACAUGCAAGUCGAGCGAACAGACGAGGAGCUUGCUCCUCUGACGUUAGCGGCGGACGGGUGAGUAACACGUGGAUAACCUACCUAUAAGACUGGGAUAACUUCGGGAAACCGGAGCUAAUACCGGAUAAUAUAUUGAACUGCAUGGUUCAAUAGUGAAAGACGGUUUUGCUGUCACUUAUAGAUGGAUCCGCGCCGCAUUAGCUAGUUGGUAAGGUAACGGCUUACCAAGGCGACGAUGCGUAGCCGACCUGAGAGGGUGAUCGGCCACACUGGAACUGAGACACGGUCCAGACUCCUACGGGAGGCAGCAGUAGGGAAUCUUCCGCAAUGGGCGAAAGCCUGACGGAGCAACGCCGCGUGAGUGAUGAAGGUCUUCGGAUCGUAAAACUCUGUUAUUAGGGAAGAACAAAUGUGUAAGUAACUAUGCACGUCUUGACGGUACCUAAUCAGAAAGCCCCGGCUAACUACGUG
rnacentral:rRNA from 1 species